rnacentral:rRNA from 1 species
GACGGAGGGUGCUAGCGUUGUUCGGAAUUACUGGGCGUAAAGGGCGCGUAGGCGGCCUCUUAAGUCGGGUGUGGAAGCCCGGGGCUCAACCCCGGAACGGCACCCGAGACUGCGGGGCUGGAGACCGGAAGAGGUGAGUGGAAUACCCAGUGUAGAGGUGAAAUUCGUAGAUAUUGGGUGGAACACCGGUGGCGAAAGCGGCUCACUGGUCCGGUUCUGACGCUGAGGCGCGAAAGCGUGGGGAGCAAACAGG